rnacentral:rRNA from 1 species
CCUACGUGAGGCAGCAGUGGGGAAUAUUGCACAAUGGGGGAAACUCUGAUGCAGCAACGCCGCGUGGGUGAUGGAGCGUUUCGGCGCGUAAAGCUCUGUCAGGGGGAAGAAGAACGACGGUACCCGACCAAGAAGCCCCGGCUAACUACGUGCCAGCAGCCGCGGUAAUACGUAGGGGGCGACCGUUAUCCGGAAUUACUGGGUGUAAAGGGAGGGUAGACGGCGAGGUAAGCAUGAAGUGGAAGCCCGCGGCCCAACCGCGGAACUGCCUUGGGAACUGGUUUGCUGGAGUAUGGGAGGGGUAAGCGGAAUUCGUGGUGUAGCGGUGAAAUGCGUAGAUAUCAGGAGGAACACCGGUGGCGAAGGCAGCUUACUAAACUGCCACUGACAUUGAGGCUCGAAAGUGUGGGUAUCAAACAGGAUUAGAUACCCGGGUAGUC